CGAGGGAUCCAAGCGUUGUUCGGAAUUAUUGGGCGUAAAGCGGGUGUAGGCGGUUAUGCAAGACAGAUGUGAAAUCCCCGGGCUCAACCUGGGAACUGCAUUUGUGACUGCAUAGCUAGAGUACGGUAGAGGGGGAUGGAAUUCCGCGUGUAGCAGUGAAAUGCGUAGAUAUGCGGAGGAACACCGAUGGCGAAGGCAAUCCCAUGGACCUGUACUGACGCUCAUGCACGAAAGCGUGGGGAGCAAACAGGAUUAGAUACCCUGGUAGUCCACGCCCUAAACGAUGUCAACUGGUUGUUGGGUCUUCACUGACUCAGUAACGAAGCUAACGCGUGAAGUUGACCGCCUGGGGAGUACGGCCGCAAGGUUG
rnacentral:rRNA from 1 species